AUGCUCUGCCGCAGCAGGGCAGGCUGGAUAUGCCUGGAUCCAUGUCCUGCAGGAACAGCUAAUGAAGGAAGGAGGUGGAGGACCUGGUGGAAAUGUGUACCAAGAAGGAUCAUCUGGAAACUGGCUCAUCUGGAAACUGGCUCAAACAACAGCAGCUGGCUCAUGUUGUUGAAGCUCUCAUCCCCACACCAGCAGCUUUUCUGGGUGAAGAAUUCUUCAAAGCACAUGCAUUCAAGGCCAGGGCAUUUCUCUUCUGUUUUCCAUGCUCCUCACCAAAAUGGACGGGUCAUGGAACUCUCUAAUUCAGGAUCCUGUAGAGUAUCAGAUGGAAUGCAUGCUGUGGUCUGAACAUCCCUUUCCAGAUAGAUUGAGCUGUCAUUUCAACAGGAAUUUAUGCAUUUAAAAUAUGAGAUGCCACAAAAUUCUGAACUGGCAUGUCCUGUGAGGACAGAUCUAUAGAAACAGAAGAACCAUUUGUAUGCGCUGGCCAUUUAAAAUAUUCUAUACCUUACUCUGGGUGGUAUCAAGCUGCUUUAUACAAAUACUACCCGUCACUUUACAUUACAAGCUUAGAAAAUCAUGCAAAAAAAGAGAAUGUCUACUUUUAUUUCUAUAUUAUUUUGGUCAAAAUACAUGUACUUCCAAAGACCAAAGAACUCUUUUAAAUAAGAAGUGAAUGUUCAUGAUGAAGUCUCUAUAGAAAGCUAAACUCAAUUAGGAUUGGACUUUUUUAAAACAGGAAAGUCUUUGUUAGGAAAUGAAAUGACAAUGGAGGAGAGAAGGUAACUUUUUAAUUUUUAUUUAAAGAGCCCUUUUUAAUUUUAAUAAUUUGUCCUUUGAUAAAAAUUUAGAUCUUGAUUAGAAUUCUAUUACUGUAUAACAUAUUGCCAUAAAUUUAGAAGCUCAAAAUGAUACCUGCUUAUUAGCUCACAGUUUUAUAGGACAACUCUCCAGAACUGGUGCAACUGCAAUCUCUGCUUAGGGCCUUACAAGGCUGAAAUCAAGGUGAUGGCCAGGCUGUGUCCCUCUCUGGAGGCUCUAGAAAGAAUCUACUUGCAGGCUUAUUCAGACAUUGGCUGAAUCAAUUCUUUGUAGUUUAGAACUGAGAUCUCUAGUUCCUUGCUGGCUGUCACUCUUAGCUCUUAGAUGUCACCUUUUAUUCCUUGCCAUGGAGCUCCCUCCAUCUUUAAGCCAGCAACUAUCUCCCUCACUUUGUAGGCAAGUCAUGCUUCAAAUCUGUUUAUUCUAUAAGAGCUUGAUCCCUUUUAAAGGCUCACCUGAUGGGUGGAGGGUGGGGGUGAUUGGGUGAUGGGCUCUGGGGGCACUUGAUGGGAUGAGCACUGGGUGUUAUGCUAUAUGUUGGCAAAUUGAACUCCAAUAAAAAAAAAAUAAAGGCUCA
rnacentral:lncRNA from 1 species